UAUUUGCAUUGCAGCGUGUGCCAGAGAACUUUGUUUUUGUGAUGGGAGACAACCGCAAUAACAGCUAUGACUCACAUGUGUGGGGUCCCUUGCCUGCCAAGAAUAUCAUAGGUAGAUCAGUAUUCCGCUAUUGGCCACCAAAUAGAAUUGGCAACACAGUUGCUAAGGGAGGGUGCCCUGUUGAAACCAAGCCGGAGACAACUACUACUAGUAGUAGUAGUACUACUCUAGCAUCUCAAUGAUGAAAGCAGCAACAUUUUUGUCAAUUAUAUGAUAUGAUUUUUGUCAAGCUUUAUUAUUCAUUUUGUACACUAGUUUGUUGAGAACACAAUUUUAUGAUCCUUUCCAUUCUUUGUGUUAGCUUGUGUUAUUGCUGAUCACCCUUCUCUGUAACAAGAUAUUGAACCCAAACAUUAGCCAGACACACACAAAAUAUGAAAUUAUGGACUUGUGUAUUCA